UUAUACGCCCGUUUGAAAAACGGGACGUAUUAUGGGAACGCCCCUGGCAGGCGGGCCGGCGGCGUCCAAUUUUGUCCGGAGCAUAUCUCCUACAUGUAUGGAGGGAUUUUAAUGAAACUUCAUAGAAAUGUUCACCACUAUGAGGAGCAGUGUCGCGCACAUGAACCAGGUCUCUAGGUCAAAGGUCAAGGUCACACUUAGAGCUCAUUGAAAAAUGCUUGUCCGGAGCAAAACUUCCACAUGUAUAGAGGGAUUUCAAUAUUACUUGGCACAAAUGUUCACCAUUGUGAGGCGGAGUGUCGCGUGCAAGAUUCAGGUCCUUGCGGCCAAGGUCAAGGUCACACAUAGAGGUCAAAGUUCAGAUAAAAAUAUGAAGAUGUGUAUAUGGACCAUUUAGUCAUCAUUUAUUGAGGGAUUGUAACACAAAUGGUCAUUAUCAAGACUAUGGCUGUGAUACAUAUAAUUUAGGUCAAUAUAUACAAGGUCAAGGUCACACUUAGAGGUCAUUGAAAAAUGCUUGUCCGGAGCAAAACUUCCACAUGUAUAGAGGGAUUUCAAUAUUACUUGGCACAAAUGUUCACCAUUGUGAGGCGGAGUGUCGCGUGCAAGAUUCAGGUCCUUGCGGCCAAGGUCAAGGUCACACAUAGAGGUCAAAGUUCAGAUAAAAAUAUGAAGAUGUGUAUAUGGACCAUUUAGUCAUCAUUUAUUGAGGGAUUGUAACACAAAUGGUCAUUAUCAAGACUAUGGCUGUGAUACAUAUAAUUUAGGUCAAUAUAUACAAGGUCAAGGUCACUAAAGAUGAUGAAAUAUCCAGAUUUUGUAAAUAGAAUUUAAUCAAAGGGCGACAACAAAGUUAUUACUUUGUUCAUAAAUGACUUACACAAUUACUCCCCUUGAUCUACUUUCACUUUCAAUUCUAAAAAUAGAAUUUAAUCAAAGGGCAUAAAAUAAUCCUCUUUCUUGGACUUGAGUAUGUUCUAAAGAAUGUAACAUUUAUUUACACAUGUUUCAUUCAUUGGUCAAGAUUCUUAACUGUGAUAACUAUGGUGUUCUGUAGACUUGGUAUUUGUUCAUAAAGAUCAUACAGUAAUUACCUUAUCAAAUGUAAAUACUUUCCCAUAGAAAUUUAAUUAUAUUUUAAUUUUCAAGUAAAUAUCAGUUCAGCUCAUUCAAAGAUUAAGAAUUGUAAUGAAAUGUAUUUCCCUAGAAUAAAAUCUUAAAUCAGAA